rnacentral:tRNA from 1 species
GGUAUAGCUCAGCUGGUUAGAGCGCCAGGUUGUGGCCCUGGAGGUCAUGGGUUCGAACCCCACUAC